rnacentral:rRNA from 1 species
GAUGAACGCUGGCGGCGUGCCUAAUACAUGCAAGUCGAGCGAACAGACGAGGAGCUUGCUCCUCUGACGUUAGCGGCGGACGGGUGAGUAACACGUGGAUAACCUACCUAUACGACUGGGAUAACUUCGGGAAACCGGAGCUAAUACCGGAUAAUAUAUUGAACCGCAUGGUUCAAUAGUGAAAGACGGUUUUGCUGUCACUUAUAGAUGGAUCCGCGCCGCAUUAGCUAGUUGGUAAGGUAACGGCUUACCAAGGCAACGAUGCGUAGCCGACCUGAGAGGGUGAGCGGCCACACUGGAACUGAGACACGGUCCAGACUCCUACGGGAGGCAGCAGUAGGGAAUCUUCCGCAAUGGGCGAAAGCUUGGCGGAGCAACGCCGCGUGAGUGAUGAAGGUCUUCGGAUCGUAAAACUCUGUUAUUAGGGAAGAACAAAUGUGUAAGUAACUAUGCACGUCUUGACGGUACCUAAUCAGAAAGCCACGGCUAACUACGUG